CAGUAGCCGCGGUAAUACGUAGGGUGCGAGCGUUAAUCGGAAUUACUGGGCGUAAAGCGUGCGCAGGCGGUUUUGUAAGACAGGCGUGAAAUCCCCGGGCUCAACCUGGGAAUGGCGCUUGUGACUGCAAAGCUAGAGUGCGGCAGAGGGGGAUGGAAUUCCGCGUGUAGCAGUGAAAUGCGUAGAUAUGCGGAGGAACACCGAUGGCGAAGGCAAUCCCCUGGGCCUGCACUGACGCUCAUGCACGAAAGCGUGGGGAGCAAACAGGAUUAGAUACCCCAGUAGUCCCUGUCUCUUAUAA
rnacentral:rRNA from 1 species